rnacentral:tRNA from 1 species
AAGGAUUUAAGUUAAGUAUAAACUAAUAGCCUUCAAAGCUAUAAAUAGAAAAUUUUCUAAGCCUU